CAGGAUUAACGCUGGCGGCGUGCCUAACACAUGCAAGUCGAACGAAAUAUCUUCGGAUAUUUAGUGGCGAACGGAUGAGUAAUGUACAGGUAAUGUACCUUCGUACUGCGAAUAACAAGCUGAAAAGUUUGCUAAUACGGAAUAGUUUCCUUCGAGGGCAUCCUUAAAGGAAUAAAGAUUUAUCGUGCGGAGAUCAGCCUGUAUCCUAUUAGUUAGUUGGUGGGGUAAUGGCCUACCAAGACGACGAUGGGUAACUGGUCUGAGAGGAUGAGCAGUCACAUUGGAACUGAGAAACGGUCCAAACUCCUACGGGAGGCAGCAGUGAGGAAUUUUGCGCAAUGGGGGAAACCCUGACGCAGCCAACGCCGCGUGAGUGAUGACGGCCUUCGGGUUGUGAAGCUCUGUCGUGUGUGACGAGUAGGGACGGUAACACACAAGGAAGCCUCGGCUAACUACGUGCCAGCCGCUGC
rnacentral:rRNA from 1 species